GGGUUGUGAGGUUAAGUGACUAAGCGUACACGGUGGAUGCCUAGGCAGUCAGAGGCGAUGA
rnacentral:rRNA from 1 species